UACAGAGGGUGCGAGCGUUAAUCGGAAUUACUGGGCGUAAAGCGUGCGUAGAUGGUUAUGUAAGUCGGAUGUGAAAGCCCUGGGCUUAACCUGGGAAUGGCAGUCGAAACUGCAGGUCUUGAGUGCCUGAGAGGAUGGCGGAAUUCCCGGUGUAGAAGUGAAAUUCGUAGAUAUCGGGAAGAACACCUGAGGCGAAGGCGGCUAUCUGGCGGUGCACUGACGCUGAGGCGCGAAAGCGUGGGGAGCAAACAGG
rnacentral:rRNA from 1 species